rnacentral:rRNA from 1 species
UACAGAGGGUGCGAGCGUUAAUCGGAAUUACUGGGCGUAAAGCGUGCGUAGACGGUAGCGUAAGUCAGAUGUGAAAGCCCCGGGCUCAACCUGGGAAUUGCAUUUGAGACUGCUCUGCUCGGGUGCGGAAGAGGGAAGCGGAAUUUCCGGUGUAGCGGUGAAAUGCGUAGAUAUCGGAAGGAAUACCAGUGGCGAAAGCGGCUUCCUGGUCCGACACCGACGUUCAGGCACGAAAGCGUGGGGAGCAAACAGG